GACACGUCACCAAGAGAAGACGUCAUUGUCCUGCGACGCGGUGGAGUUUUCCCUGAGACGGAGAAGAAAGCCUUACGUUUUACCUUAAGGUUUUAUUGGGUUGAAUUGAUUGUAGCGCCGUUUGUGCCUCACAGUAUUUACAUCUCGCAAGAGCCCGGGCUGGUACCAAAUUACUCUUCGUCUUGAUUCAGUUUCAGAAAAAUGCCUCUACAACUUCUUGAAGGGAUGUCCAGCAGGAAGCGAAGACCCAACUGGACAGACCAGGAGUGUCUCCUUCUUGCCCGGUUAAUGCAGGAGAGGAAAGACACAAUCAGAGGGAAGUGCAGCACUGGAGUAUCAAUACAAGAUAAAAGACAGGCCUGGGAGGAAAUAGCCCAAGCCAUCAAUGCUGCCUUUCCACACAUUCAGCGGACAGUUUCUGACUGCAACAAAAAGUGGGAAAAUCUGCUGGCAAAGUCAAGGGAGGAGAUCAAAAGACAGAAAAGGCAAGCGGGUACAGGCCUGUCCUUUGAAGCGCUCAGCACUGUGACCCAAAUUGUGAUAUCUGUGAUGAACCUCUCAGACAUGCUGCAACAAGAUCAGGAAGACUCUUCAGUGCCAGAGUUGGUGGAAACUCAACAAAACAGCUGUGAUAAAGAUGGAAAUGACCACACAACUGGUGAAAGAUGCACAAACAAACAUCCACUGACAGAUCAUGAACUCCCUACAUAUCCAGAUCCAUCCACCUCUCCAGGAGAACAAAAAAUGACGGCUUUCACUAAUGUUCCUAAAUCACUCGCAGUUCAGUUCAGUACUCCCCGUGCUGCUGUCUUUACUGUCUCCGGAGAACACUCGGAUACUCCCUGCUCCACUUCUCCAACCUCAGUGCACCGCACAACUUUGCAAGAGCGAAUGGAUUUGGAAAUGUCUGUGCUUAGAAGACAAGAGGCUGUCCUCAAGCUGCAAGAGGAAUAUUACACGCUAAAAAUCAAGCUGAUGAAAAAGCAAAUGGAAGAGCCACUUCAAAAGGACUAAAGUAGUUGUAGGAAACUCCCUGCUGCACCUGUUUGGGACAUUUGCCUGCCUGUGAAAUGUGACCAACAAAAAUUCAAUUAAUGUAGCAUCACAUUUAAUCUAGGUGAAGACUUUUUCCAUAUUCUGCUAUUGUGAAACAUUGAUCAGGUUUGUUGUGUCAUGCUAAGUAAAAAGUAUCUUCAUGUGUCCUGGUCAGUUGGUAACUGACAUUUCUUUUAAAUUUCCUUAAAAGCAACCAUGAGGUAAAAUAAAAGGCUGAGGAUGUACUGUAUGGACCAAAUUAUAUGUUUGGUUGUCUCCAAAGUAAUGCCUUUUUCAAAGCCUUGCAAUCAGAGACUGUGUCACUCCUGUAAUAGGCAAGACAGUAUUAUCUCCCUCCUCUGUUUGUAUUGUAUUUUCUGUAAUCAAGACUAUGGCCCAACAUUAAUUUUGUCUGCACCAGGCAUCCAUAAGUCCACAUUAAAUAUAGAAAUAUUGCAUUGCAACAUGCAUUCUGGCAGACGAUAUUUGUACAUCAGCACAAAACAAACCUUAUUAAAAUGUUUUUUUAUUUUAUUAUUGUGAGAAAUAUCGUUCUUCUGUAACAAAAAAAAUUCUAUUUGUAGUCAUUACGGUUUUCCUUUUAAAUUAAUAAUAAUAAUGAUAAUAAUGAGCUAUAAUCAAUGCAGUGUUUGCUGUAGCCCUUACAGUCCCGUUAUAAUGAAUUGUUUAGGCCAUAAUUCAUAGUGGUUUUAAGUCAAAUCUUUGUCCAACCAAUAAUUUUUGUGUUGACUGGUUAUACUAAUAUACAUAAGAUAUAUCAUGAGAUAUGUUUCUGCUUUUCUUCCUGACGAUGCAUUUGGGUGCGUAUGACAGUGAAAGUCAAUGUCGCCUCACAUUGCCUUCUUACAACUUAAGAGUCUCAUACUGAAAAACAGAACAACUACUGCAAAAUAGUAUAAUGAAAACUGAAAACUGAUGCAUAUUGCAUUUAUUUUAAACUUUGCCUUUAUGACCUUAUUAGGAGUGAAAUUUUGCUCCUGUGUAAAUCGUGUGUUGAUUUCAGUACAGAAAUAGUUGUGGACUGGAAAAGCUGACCAGCUUUUGAUGAUAGCUUAUGUCAUUGGUAUAUAAUAUGAGUUAGACAUCCUCUAAGCUAUCCUUCAUCUUCCAUCAUUGUAUUAUAAGUACAAUAACACAGAUGAUGCAUUAACAUGUGAUGCACUUUGCCAUAUACAGUAACUGUGGAAUUCCAAAUACUAAAUUCUGAAAUUCUUGAAACUGAUUUAUAUUUUGUAGCAAGUAUAAUUUGUGCUUUUCUGGCAGGAAAGUCUAAUUCAUAUGCAUAGUUUUACACUGUGAGAAAUUUUGUUUAUUUGCAGAUUCAUGCCAUUUACUCUUAAGUGCAAAUUUGGAAGCUGUAAAUGUUUGACAUAUACCAAUAAACAUAUUUAUGAAAAUUGAACUUGAGCAUGCCAAUGUAAGUAAAGCUAAAAUAAUGUCCUGUCUAGACAAAUGCAGUAAUUUGUGCGUAAUAUUUCUCAUAAAUCCGUUUAUUUGUA